UCUCAUGUCUCCACUUCAUUAUUAAUGCACGUGAGGGUGAAACUGCGCAUGUCCGCUUUCUGUACGGACAUGACGUCCCGCUGCUCCGGUCUCACCUGCGGCUUCUGGACCAGCAUCUCCUCUGAGUGACCGCAGCGUGGGGAGCAAGAGCCAAUCAGCUUCCAGAUAGCUUCUCAAACACGCCCCCUGUACGCACGCGCAGACACGCACGCCCCCCCACCUUCCUGCCUCCUCUGUAAUCCUCCGUCCUCUCCAGGCAUCAUGGCGGAAAUUAAAACGGGAAUCUUUGCGAAGAACGUUCAGAAACGGCUGAACCGGGCCCAGGAGAAGGUUUUGCAGAAACUGGGAAAAGCAGACGAGACCAAAGAUGAGCAGUUUGAACAAGUGG